rnacentral:rRNA from 1 species
AUUGAACGCUGGCGGCAUGCCUUACACAUGCAAGUCGAACGGCAGCACGGGAGCAAUCCUGGUGGCGAGUGGCGAACGGGUGAGUAAUAUAUCGGAACGUGCCCAGUCGUGGGGGAUAACGUAGCGAAAGCUACGCUAAUACCGCAUACGAUCUAUGGAUGAAAGCGGGGGAUCGCAAGACCUCGCGCGAUUGGAGCGGCCGAUAUCAGAUUAGGUAGUUGGUGAGGUAAAGGCUCACCAAGCCGACGAUCUGUAGCUGGUCUGAGAGGACGACCAGCCACACUGGGACUGAGACACGGCCCCAGACUCCUACGGGAGGCAGCAGUGGGGGAAUUUUUGGACAAUGGGCGCAAGCCUGAUCCAGCAAUGCCGCGUGCAGGAUGAAGG